rnacentral:rRNA from 1 species
GGCCGCAGUACUUUGACUGUGCUAAGGUAGCAUAAUAAAUUGACUUUUAAUUGAGGUCUAGAAUGAAAGGAACCGUGGAUAAUUGCUGUCUUGUUUUAACUAAUAAAAAUUUACUUAAAAGGUGAAAAUUCCUUUAAAAUAAUAUAAUAGACGAGAAGACCCUAGGAGUUUUAAAAAUUUUGUUGGGGCGACAUUAUAGCAGCAUAAUAUUUGUUUAAACCUAUAAUUUUAAAUAAAAUUAUAUAACGAAAAGUGUUAAUUAAAAAUAAACUACCCUAGGGAUAACAGCAUAAUUUUAAUUUAGGUUUGUGACCUCGAUGUUGGACUAGGGACAUUUAAAAUUAACAGUGUUAAAUGAUAGUUCUGUUCGAACAUUUUACCCUACGUGAU